UGACACCUACGGGGCGCAGCAGUGGGGAAUAUUGGGCAAUGGGCGCAAGCCUGACCCAGCAACGCCGCGUGAAGGAAGAAGGCUUUCGGGUUGUAAGCUUCUUUUAUGAGGGACGAAACAAAUGACGGUACCUCAUGAAUAAGCCACGGCUAACUACGUGCCAGCAGCCGCGGUAAUACGUAGGUGGCAAGCGUUAUCCGGAUUUACUGGGUGUAAAGGGCGUGUAGGCGGGACUGCAAGUCCGAUGUGAAAAUUA
rnacentral:rRNA from 1 species